GACCAUUUGAUUUCCUUCUGUUCUUUAUAUAUUUUAUGUAAUAAAAAACCAGUGCAAAACACCUGGUACCUACCUUAUAAACUUUCUGUCUGUUCCACAAAUAUGUUAAGAUGAUUAAAUAAGAACUACCAUAUGUUUAAUGAAACAAUAAGCCAGGGAAUAACUAAAUGUCUCAGUACAAAGAGGCAUAACCUAUAACCACUGAAUGAAUCUCAAAGUACAAAUUUCUACAUUGGAAGGAGUACUCUCAGAACUAUUUUAAAACCUGCAGAAUAUAAUGUAACUAGAGUGGGAAGAAUGCACUACAUUUGAGAAGUGGUCAUGAAGCAGUUGUUGCCAUGGUCACAUCGUGGAAUUCUUAAGGACACUCGGGACAAUGAAAAUGAAUUAAUGUGCUGCACCUUCACUUUUCUCUAGGGCUUUAAAUCUUCCUCAGAUGGGUUUCACAUGAGGAAUAUGUCGGAGGACAAAACAAAGAAGCCAGAUCACCCACCUAACAGCCACAGUCUUUUACACAGAGUUUAGUGUUUUACAAAUCUGCUGUUUGUACUGCUUGGAAAACCCAAUCAACACCAUGCCAAAACCAGAUUUGGUGUUACUAGUCAUGGGAGUAAAAGAAAACUGAAGUAUUUUCUUCUGAGACACCACCCACUUCAACUUCUCUUUCCUAUUCUUAGCACUUGCUCCAGACCGAAGAAAACAACAGCAAGAGAAAUUAAAGGUCCUGUUGAGGAAUGCUGCAUAAGCCAAAACAAUGGACGGUGGGGGAGAAACGUCAGUAUGGCAACACCCCAGGUAUAAAGAGUAAACUAGUGUCACAUUUAACACAGAUACUAGUAUCUUUUUACUAUUAAAGAAUUAGCAUUUUCAAUAUUA